ensembl:lncRNA
AAAAUCUUGCUUUCUGAUCCUUAUAUAUACGUUUAAAAACAAGCCAAAAUCAAAUUUCAGAGGUUAAAAUCUCAGGGCAAGGCUGAAUGGAAAUGUGAGACCAGCCAUGCUCAACUUAAGCGAGUAGUCCUGAGAUUUUUGCUCUCGUGUGCAGCAGCUGCCGUAGGACUCCUGGGAUGUGACGUAUCGGGUUUAGAAAACUGUCUUCCAUUUGGAUUGCCAUAAAAUGUAUCGGCAUAAACCUGGACACUUUUGAGUGGAAAAGGGGUCCUUCUAUUACACAAAUACAACAUUUGAAAGCAGGUCCAUCCUGAAUAAGGCAGAGUAUAUGGUUAUAAUGAUACUGAUGCUUUAUUAUUAAACACACGUCAAACACAAUUGAGUCUAGCAUUAAUUGAGCUGAUUGUAUGUAAUUUCUCCUUAAACUUUUCUGUAGUUCGUUGGGGCUUCUGUGGCUCAGCAGUAAAGAACCGGCCUGCAGUGCGGCAGAGUAGCAGGGGACCUGGGUUCGGUCCCUGGGUUGAGAAGACCCCCUGGAGCAGGAAAUGGCAACCCGCUCCAGUAUUCCGGCCUGGAGAAUUCCAUGGACAGUGUUAACUGACUUUUGUCUGUUUUAUCCGGUACUGAUAUCAGCAUGCUCUAUGGAAUCUAACGUUCACGCGAGUCUCGUGUGCCCGGCACACCUGCCGUCACCCUGCUUCCCCGCGUCCAGCGUCCUCCCAAGCAGAUGCUGUGUCGCCCGCGGUUCAGCUUGGGGAUCAAGGCCUGCGUCCCCCAGGCUGUCGGCAGGCUCCACCUCUGGCAGCUCCAACAAGGCCCUUCAUGGGAAGUUUCCUUCUGACAAACAGACCUGGUGCCAAAGGUACUCGCCAUCCGGGAGCAGUCCACGCGCCAGCCAGUCAGCACAGGGGUGAAGGUUUUGCCGUCCAUCAGCCCCAGGCAGUUUGGAGGAGACGCCGUUACGCAGGUCUCACCUCUACUUGUUAAACAGUUAAUUGCCGUAACACUUACACCUGUUAAUGUUACCCUAAGCAUCAGAAACAAGACUUACGAAGAAAGAGAAGGCCGGGCAGCUGGACCCAGGGAGACGAGUGGAGAAAAUGAGAGCGCUGGUCAUCCCGAAUCUGGCAACGGAAUGAUUAGGCUGAGACGUAAUAUUUGUCAAAAUGUGUAGUAUUUUGCAAACGAAAUUUGUGAAG